ACUCAACGUUAAUUCUUUAAAAAGGGUGAGUUGAAGUUGUAAAAGCAUGCUGCUAGUACUUAGGUGCUUGGGCAGACCCUUGAUCAGCUUGUUAGCCCUAAACUUGUUUUUAAGGAGUUU
rnacentral:sRNA from 1 species